rnacentral:rRNA from 1 species
AAUACGGAGGGGGCCAGCGUUGCUCGGAAUUACUGGGCGUAAAGGGCGCGUAGGCGGCCGCGCAAGUCGGAGGUGAAAUCCCCCGGCUCAACCGGGGAAUGGCCUCCGAUACUGCGCGGCUCGAGUCCCGGAGAGGGUGGUGGAAUUCCCAGUGUAGCGGUGAAAUGCGUAGAUACUGGGAGGAACACCGGUGGCGAAGGCGGCCACCUGGACGGGUACUGACGCUGAGGCGCGAAAGCUAGGGGAGCAAGCAGGAUUAGAUACCCUGGUAGUCCUAGCCGUAAACGAUGGGCACUUGGUGUUGCGGGUAUCGACCCCCGCAGUGCCGAAGCUAACGCGUUAAGUGCCCCGCCUGGGGAGUACGGUCGCAAGGCU